UGUGACAUCACAAUGCUCCAAUGUGACAUCACAAUGGUACAAUGUGUCAACACAAUGCUCGAUGUGACAUCACAAAGCUGAAUGUCCCCUCACA
rnacentral:miRNA from 1 species